GAUGAACGCUGGCGGCGUGCUUAACACAUGCAAGUCGAACGGUGAAGCAGGAGCUUGCUCCGGUGGAUUAGUGGCGAACGGGUGAGUAACACGUGAGCAAUCUGCCCUUGACUCUGGGAUAACUGCGGGAAACUGUAGCUAAUACCGGAUACGAGGCUCGAAGGCAUCUUCGGGUCUGGAAAGAAUUUCGGUCAAGGAUGAGCUCGCGGCCUAUCAGCUUGUUGGUGAGGUAAUGGCUCACCAAGGCGACGACGGGUAGCCGGCCUGAGAGGGUGACCGGCCACACUGGGGCUGAGACACGGCCCAGACUCCUACGGGAGGCAGCAGUGGGGAAUAUUGCACAAUGGGCGAAAGCCUGAUGCAGCAACGCCGCGUGAGGGAUGAAGGCCUUCGGGUUGUAAACCUCUUUUAGCAGGGAAGAAGCGAAAGUGACGGUACCUGCAGAAAAAGCACCGGCUAACUACGUGCCAGCCGCCGCCGUAA
rnacentral:rRNA from 1 species